ACAUACCCCUUUGAAGUAGAGAAACCAUAGUUAUCCUCUCUAUUCUGCUACCAUCGCCCAUAUAAUAGUAUUGCUCUACUCUCUAUUCCCCUAUUAUUACCCAUUGUUAUCUUACCUUUAAUAUUGUUCUUAUUCAAUUCUACCAUCUUUCCUAUUUACACCUAUUUACUUAUCUUGGUUAAGUUAGAGCGUAGAUCAGUUCUCCCGUUUCCCUAUGGAUACGAUAAAACCUUUAACCGG
rnacentral:lncRNA from 1 species